CUUCGGGAAACCGGAGCUAAUACCGGAUAAUAUAUUGAACCGCAUGGUUAAAUAGUGAAAGACGGUUUUGCUGUCACUUAUAGAUGGAUCCGCGCCGCAUUAGCUAGUUGGUAAGGUAACGGCUUACCAAGGCAACGAUGCGUAGCCGACCUGAGAGGGUGAUCGGCCACACUGGAACUGAGACACGGUCCAG
rnacentral:rRNA from 1 species